CCUACGGGUGGCUGCAGUGGGGAAUAUUGCACAAUGGGCGCAAGCCUGAUGCAGCCAUGCCGCGUGUGUGAAGAAGGCCUUCGGGUUGUAAAGCACUUUCAGCGGGGAGGAAGGCGUUAAGGUUAAUAACCUUGUCGAUUGACGUUACCCGCAGAAGAAGCACCGGCUAACUCCGUGCCAGCAGCCGCGGUAAUACGGAGGGUGCAAGCGUUAAUCGGAAUUACUGGGCGUAAAGCGCACGCAGGCGGUCUGUCAAGUCGGAUGUGAAAUCCCCGGGCUCAACCUGGGAACUGCAUUCGAAACUGGCAGGCUAGAGUCGUGUAGAGGGGGGUAGAAUUCCAGGUGUAGCGGUGAAAUGCGUAGAGAUCUGGAGGAAUACCGGUGGCGAAGGCGGCCCCCUGGACAAAGACUGACGCUCAGGUGCGAAAGCGUGUGGAGCAAACAGGAUUAGAUACCCUAGUAGUC
rnacentral:rRNA from 1 species